AUGAGGAAGUGGAAAGCACAGAUUCUGAAUCCUCAUCCUGUAAGCGUAACAAAAGGGAGGCAAGAAAGAAUAAACAACUGUGGAAGAAAGCAACUAAGGAAGAUGGCAGUGAUGCAUUGAUGGAAAAGAAAGGAAGGCAAGGAAGCGAAAGUUGACCAAGGAUUCUGAUACAAGUUGUGACACUGAAGACCAAAGACUAACAAAAAGGAGCAAGAAAAAGAAGGUACAACAGAAGAUGAAGGAUACUACAAAGAAAAAAGUCCUAAAGCCUGAAGAUGCCAUUUCCAGGUACAGGUGUGUACUAAAAGCUGUGUCCAGAGGAAUGUCAAAGACUGAUGCCUACACCUAUGUUGGCGUCAAUCCCAAAACAAUUGUUGACACUGCAGCAAUUGCCGAGCUGAAAGCGGUGGAUCCUGAAACGUAUUCCCAAAUACGAGCUAUAUGUUCCACAAGGUAAUAAAAGAGCAUACGCUGUAUGAUUUUGCAGAGCAGUGCAGGGCUGUGGUUUUAAACAAACCAGACCUCAGAAGUGCGGGUGAACAAAUGAAGGAAGAUGGCAGGCUUCUAGAUAUUCAUACCCGUGAUUAAAGGCAUUUUAAAACCUGAAAGUCUGAAUCUGAGUCUGCAAAAUAGUUAUUGUGUUUGCUGUUAUACAUAUUUGGUCCAGUUAGUUUUUGUUUCUCACUGCAGUUUAGUGAGCAGACUAAGUAUGGAUGUAUUCCCCAAUGCUGCACAUUAUUUUGGUUUGUUUGUUUUCCAGGUGCUUUAUCAUGUCUCUGCCGACUCCCCUUUGAAUGCAAGUGUGUCACGCACAAGAAUUAAUGUAACAGAUUUCUCAUAAAUUCCUUUUAUUUUGUUUAUAAAUAAGAGUUAAUCUAAAGUUAUAGUAGAUACAGCAAUCACCAGAAUCAGUGUGUGCAGCCAUAAUGCUGUGUGAUGUACCUGUAUGCCCAAGGGAACGUAUGUGUGUGUGUGUGUGUGUGUGUGUGUGUGUGUGUGUGGACAACCUGUCUGAACUUUGUUUUUGAAAGUGAACUACAGAUGAACUGGACUAUGGCUCUGUAGAUCCAGACCGAGACUCAUUUGGUCAGAUCAAACGUAGGUUCUUUGGUCCAGAUCAUGGUUCACGGCCCCUUUCUCGGUUUCUACUUUGGUUCAGACCCAAACGGAAAAAGUGACUAAGCCAGGAUUAUGUAAAAAAAAAAAAAUGUUUCUUGUGAUUUUAGAAAACAUAUUUUAUGGUAAGUUUUCUGUUUUAAGUUUUGUUUAAAAAAAGGUUACAGGUUCAUUACACAGUGUGUAAAUGUGUGUAUUAGUAAAAUUCCUGUUACACUUUAAUUGUGCAGUUGUAAAGAUUUGUUUUUCUUUACAGUGUUACAAAUAAAAGUGAUUCCUUUUGCACAUCA